rnacentral:rRNA from 1 species
CCCUUAGAUGUUCUGGGCUGCACGCGUGCUACAAUGGCGUUUCCAGCAAGUCUGCGAACCCGAGAGGGCCAGCGGAUCUUCGAAUUGGCGUCGUGAUCGGGACAGUCGAUUGCAAUUAUUUGACUCAAACGAGGAAUUCCUUGUAAUCGCGAUUCAUCAUAUCGCGCUGAAUACGUCCCUGCCCUUUGUACACACCGCCCGUCGCUCCUACCGAUUGAGCGAUCCGGUAAAUGUUUUGGAUUGGUGCCGGGGCGGCUAGCUGCCGGUCGCUACGAAAUUUUGUGAACCUUACCGCUUAGAGGAAGGAAAAGUCGUAACA